UGGCUUUAGUCCAAGUGAGAGUUAUUAGAAAAUAUGUCCUAAAAUCAAUCAUCUAGGUUGUAGAUGAUUAUGCUUCAUACAUAUAUAUAAAUUAUAAAAUGAUAAAUGUUAUUCGGUAGAUUCAUCAUAAAGAAUAUAUCUUCCAAAAUAGAACUCAUAUGUUAUGAUGAAGUUCUUAGAACUACUACUACCAAAAUGAUAAAGGAGGAUUUAUCAAGUGG
rnacentral:lncRNA from 1 species